AAGUCGUAACAAGGUUUCCGUAGGUGAACCUGCGGAAGGAUCAUUAACACGUAUCCAAACGUUAACCCCCCUGUGAACCUUUAGUGUGCUCGUACCUUUGUCAGAGCGUGGCAAUCCCUAGUAAAUCAUCGCCGAACAGUUUUCGAUUUAGGGACUUCCACAAAGAGUGUGCUCGUAGCGCGAGGCAAGUGGCCUGGCAUUCCCAAGCAGUUGGUGUCUGAAAGUGUCACUGGCUGUGUAAGGCUCACGCCCCUUAAUCACAACUUAAUGCAUGUCAGACGCGCCUGCGCUUAAUUGUGCGGCGACCAUAAAACUCGAACAACUGUUAACAAUGGAUAUCUUGGUUCUC
rnacentral:misc_RNA from 1 species